rnacentral:rRNA from 1 species
AGCUUGUAGUCUUUUAUUGUAAGUGAUUUCUGCCCAAUGAUUUAUUUUAAUGGCCGCAGUACCCUGACUGUGCUAAGGUAGCAUAAUAAGUUGGCUUUUAAUUGGAGUCUGGAAUGAAUGAAGUAACGGAAAAAAACUGUCUUUUUAUAGAUCUUAAUAAUUUUUUUAAAUGGUGAAAAUCCCAUUAGUAAUAAAUAGGACGAGAAGACCCUAAGAAUUUUUAAGAAAAAUUUUAAUAAAUUUUAAUUUUUAGCUGGGGCGGCUUAAGACCAAAAUUAAACGUCUUUAAAUAUUUAUCUGUUUUUAACAGUAUUAAUUAAUAUUACCUUAGGGAUAACAGCAUAAUUUUGUUUUUAGCUUGUGACCUCGAUGUUGGACUAGGAUAAUUACGAUUAAAAGUCUAAAAAUUUUGUUCUGUUCGAACACUUCCUCCUACAU